rnacentral:lncRNA from 1 species
GGAUGCAAUUAUCAGGAUGAAGUGGGAGCUGUCUGGAGGCUCCUUGUUCUAAGUUUAUCUGUAGCCAAGAGUUUUGUGCAGCCCAACAGAGCCUGAAGACCACCCUGGACAUGCAGCACAGUGCAGCAGAGCAUGCACCUACUCAGGUUAACUGUACUAUGGAUCACUAAUCCCUUUAUUUCCAGCAGCUUCCUGGCCAAGAUCAUUACAGUAACUGAAACUAUUCUGGAAGGUAAAGCAGAUGCUUCCUUCAUUCCUAUAUUAGAAACAUGCCAAGGAAAAUCUAAUAGCUGCUUCUUAUGUUCCUCAAGAUAAUGACACCAAUAUAGUAAAACUCAAGAAACAUUGUUACUGUUAGUGGACCCAUGAAAAACAGAAUUGCCAUUGCUCAUGAAGCACAGCCCUUAUAUUGUCUGUGCCUAGAGUGACAGUGCAAGGCCCUAGCCCUGGCCAGCUUUUAUCACUUUACCCUGGGAACUGGCUGUGUGAGCUUGGUAAGAAGUUUCUCUUUUGAUCAUGUUCAGCUUAAUUGUGGGGUAACGGAAAAGGCUUUGUGUUGUGGUAUGUUUAUUCAAUUCUGUUAAAAUUGUUAGUAUUUCAUCUGUUUGGUAUGUUCCUGGUUCUCCCCCAUUUACUGCUUUGGUUGGUUCCAUUUGUCUGUUAUGUAAACCCCUCCCAGUUUUCCUGAAUGUUCCCCGUCAAUCACCUUUACCCUGCCCCAUCUCCCCAUCCAUCAUCGUAAACCCCACCUCUCCUUCCAGCUCCUUCCAUGUAUAUCAUCCCUUCCUUGAUAUGUUAUUGGUUGUUAUGUUAUGUUCCCGCCUUCCUUGUAUCCCCAUUGGUCCCUGACGUUGUAACCUCCUCCCCUUACCCCUCCCUCCGUGAGC